rnacentral:tRNA from 1 species
ACUGAAAUAGCUCAGUUGGGAGAGCGUUAGAAUAUAGAGAGGUCCCUGGUUCGAUCCCUGGAUUCAGCA